GGAGCCAAGAUGGCCGAAUAGGAACAGCUCCGGUCUACAGCUCCCAGCGCGAGCGACGCAGAAGACGGGUGAUUUCUGCAUUUCCAUCUCAGCUACUAAAUGCUCAAGCGGACAAUGAAAGAGAUUAACACUGGGUUCCAGUAUGGUGCCAUCGUUUGAGGAGACCAACCAGUUACCGGGAGAUGGAGUCUCGCUCUGUCACCAGGCUGGAACGCAAUGGCGUGAUCUGGGCUCAUUGCAACCUUCACCUCCCGGGUUCAUGUGAUUCUCCUGCCUCAGCCUCAGGUUUCUCCUCAGGCCUGCUACAGUGGAGCGGGUGUGGAGAUGCAAGAACUAGAGCUGCUGGGUGGCAAGGAGUCAGCGUCUUGGAGGCUUGUGGUUACACCUGAGGAGUAUCUCACUAAAGGCUUUCACGUUUUGGAAAAUAUAAUAAGGUCUUAGAAGCUUAAUUCCAAUUCAGUAUAUUUAUAAAAUCUCUUAUUUUUUGAGGCUAAGGAAAGAGUUCAUUGGCUAUAAAUUAUGAAUGACGAGAAAAGGCUAGCCUUGAGGAAAUCUGGGGAAGAUAAUUCUAGACAGAAGGAGCAGCAAGGGCAAAGAUUGGGGGAGCAGUAAUGAGUUGGAAAUGUCUGAAGGAAAGAAUAAAAGUCAGGAUGGCUGGAGCCCAGUGACUGAU